rnacentral:tRNA from 2 species
GGAUGGGUGGCCGAGUGGUUGAAGGCACCGGUCUUGAAAACCGGCGAGCGUGCAAGCGUUCCGUGGGUUCGAAUCCCACCCCAUCCGCCA